GGGGAGUACGUUCGCAAGAAUGAAACUCAAAGGAAUUGACGGGGGCCCGCACAAGCGGUGGAGCAUGUGGUUUAAUUCGAUGCAAAGCGAAGAACCUUACCAGGGCUUGACAUGCCGCGAAUCCUCUUGAAAGAGAGGGGUGCCCUCGGGAACGCGGACACAGGUGGUGCAUGGCUGUCGUAAGCUCGUGCCGUAAGGUGUUGGGUUAAGUCUCGCAACGAGCGCAACCCUCGUGUUUAGUUGCCACUAUGAGUUUGGAACCCUGAACAGACCGCCGGUGUUAAGCCGGAGGAAGUAGAGGAUGAGGCCAAGUUAUCAUGCCCCUUAUGCCUUGGGCGACACACGUGCUACAAUGGGCGGGACAAAGGGUCGCGAUCUCGCGAGGGUGAGCUAACUCCAAAAACCCGUCCUCAGUUCGGAUUGCAGGCUGCAACUCGCCUGCAUGAAGCAGGAAUCGCUAGUAAUCGUCGGUCAGCCAUACGGUGGCGAAUCCGUUCUCGGGCCUUGUAUA
rnacentral:rRNA from 1 species